UGGAGAAGAAACAUUAUUAUAGCUAGUGCCAGAGGAUAUUUACACAUCUCCCACUUUCUGUAUAACAGCUGCCCUUCUCUGCUAAAAUAUCUAUAUAGCGUGUGGCUCCUAGUGAGCUGAUUCUAUACGACAACUGAAAACGAAUUCCUUGCAACACGUGAGCGGAUCUGCUGAAUACUGAUGAGACAAUGCAUGCUUCUGUCCCAGGCAGUCAAUUCUCUAGUAAUUUUUGGGAACCUUGAAUAUUGGAGCUGGAGUAUUUGGAGUAUUUCAGAUUGCAUCACUUAAACCUUUAAGCUGUCAAUUCUGAAAAUCAAUAACAUAUCUUUGGUAAGUAUAAUUCUGAGCUGUGAUAGCUUUUGGAAUUAGUUCCUGCAUUUAUUGUUAAUGAUUGAUUACUGAAUGAAUAAGUUAAAAUGAUAUUGUUUACAAUUUCUACAUUUUUCUGGAAAACUUAUUUGAGAUGUUUUUGGUUACGCUUGUUUUGGGGGGUGGGGG
rnacentral:lncRNA from 1 species